GGGGCUGUAGCUCAGUUGGGAGAGCGGGUGCUUUGCAAGCAUCAGGUCGUCGGUUCGAUCCCGUCCAGCUCCACCA
rnacentral:tRNA from 3 species